CCGGUCUGGGGCCGGUCUGGGGCCGGUCUGGGACUAGAGGGGGUCCGGUCUGGGGCCGGUCUGGGACUAGAGGGCGGGCCGGGGGUUUGUCCUUUUCGGGGCGGCGGCAUCAUUGGGGUACGUUUGGCGAGGCGCGGCCCCCGGCCCCUAGAGGGCGUAGAAACCACCAAGAGACCGGGGGGUUGGCUGCCGUCGGCUGGACGGAGCGGAGAGGGCAGAUCAGGGGGGGGUCAGGUUGGGGUGGGGGCCGGUGGGGUUCAGGUUAGGGUGGGGGCCGGUGACACUGCUGUGGGCAGCUGUUGGGUUGAAUGCGACCCGAUCCUGCAUCAUUGCGAGUCUUGUUUGUCGUCUUUGGCGUGAUGUGAUUGUCUCCGUGACGACUCCCCACAGUCUCCUUUUGUUUUUGGUCUCAGGCAGUAAAGUUGUACACGAGUCGACGUUAAGUUCAUUUUUUAUUUCUUGGAAAAGAAGACGAAAUUGAGCUUGGAACGGAGGAUAACGAGUACUGGUAGGAAGGGGGGGAGAGACUCAAACAGACGCUAACCUGGCUGGGCUGAUGUAGUAUCCCUAAGAAGGUGAAUUCUGGCUGUCGCUUCUUUCUCCACCCAGAAGAGUUUUUCUAUGUUCGUUCCUUCUCAAUGAUAGACAUUUGUUAUGCACUACUCUUUGUAUCUGAACAGUUUUGGACAGUCAGCAAUUCUUUUUGUUAAAAGAGAAGAAAAAAAAGGCGGUAAAGCAUGCUUUUUUUGACUGACAUGACAUUUUUGCAAUACCUCAAUUUUGAAAUAUAUUAGGAGAGAACCGAUAUUUUCUAAGUAAGUUUAUUCAAAUGAAAAAAAGAAAUAUAUAUCUAUAUAUUAAUUUAAUUCUUAGAGAGAAAUGAUUUAACAGAGGUUGAUUCUUAUUUUUUAUCAUGCUCAUUUGCUUUUACUUUCAAAUUUAUUUUUUGACAAUUGAGGGAGCUGGAGCUUUAUAACUUUAAUAUAAUGACAUAGUUAGUGAGCGUACAUUCUACUUUAUUACCAAGUAGUGAGUGAGUGAGUGCUGGUCUGGUUAAAAAUAACCAGCAACGGCACAGUGUCAACAAAACAUAACAAAUAAGGAAAUAAUCCAUUAGUAAUCAUUUGAAAAAAAUAAUUAUCAAUAAGAGAUCCUUAAUAUAUCGGGUGCUUGGAAAGAAAACUGAAGAUACUUCCCUUGAUUUUUUUUAUAUUUAUAUAAUCAAUCAUUUACAAUGCUGACCAGAAUAUUUUUUUUUUUUUACUUUUUAUGUUUCCUACAAAUGUGUACUCCCUUUUCUUUUGUAACGUAAUAAAACACUUGUUUGUUGGCCUGAUAUCAUAAGGGGGGGUUUAAAAAAAUAAAUGACAUUAAAAAGGACUUCUAAGAGUCACUGAAAAGCUUGGGAUAAAAAAGAAUGUUCUUUUUUUUAACACAAAACAGACUUAAGUGUUUUACCUGUAAACGCCCCCCCUCCCAAAAGGUGCAUCAAUUAAGUGGUGGCCUUCUAUUCACGCAAGACUUGAAUUAGUCCCAUUUUUUAAGACUAAGAACCUUGAUUCUUUGUUGUAAUGUGCAAUACUGUUUGUACUGUUUGUAAAAAAAAAAAGAAGAAAAAAACAUGAAAAAAAGAGACAAAAUCUUUAUUGCAGAAUUAUUUUCAUUGCAAGCAAUGUGAUUCACUAAAAUCAUUUUCUACUGUGUGUUUACCUGCUAGUACCUUCCAGUGGUAAUGUAGCCUUUGUACUGAGAAAUUUUCAUUAUUUUUAGAACGUUUUGCUAAAAAAGAAAAGGAUUAAAACAUUUACAUGUUUUUUAUUUAAUAUUUUCUUUACAGACUUAUUUCUCAACCAUUUAAUAGUUAUUUCUGUGGGAGACUUUCAUAUCUGGUCAAUGUCAUUAAUAUUAUUUUGUAUUUUUACUUUGAAUAAAUUAAUUUUAUGAUGCUAA